AUUAGAUACCCUAUUAUUUUUAUUGUAAAAUUCAAAGCUGGAGUAUUAGUAGAUAUGAUCUUGAAACUUAAAGAAUUUGGCGGUAUUAUAGUCUAUUUAGAGGAAUCUGUUAUGUAAUCGAUAGCCCACGUUGAACCUUACUUAUAUAAUUUCUUGUAUACCGCUGUUUAUGAAAAUAUUCUUAGGUUAUUUUCUGAAUAUCAUAUUAAUUAAAAUUUCAAGUCAAGGUGCAGUUAUAUAUAAGUUGAAUAAUGGAUUACAAUAAAUUUUAUUUAUUAUGAAUACUAUUUGAAAUGUAGUUUGAAGGUGGAUUUAAUUGUAAUUUAAUGAAGAUUGUUAAAAUGAUUAAUAGCUCUAUAAUAUGUACACAUCGCCCG
rnacentral:rRNA from 1 species